rnacentral:rRNA from 1 species
AACGCGAAGAACCUUACCUGGGCUUGAACCGCCGGUGACCAGCGGUGGAAACAUCGCCUUCUCGCAAGAGACACCGGUAGAGGUGCUGCAUGGCUGUCGUCAGCUCGUGCCGUGAGGUGUUGGGUUAAGUCCCGCAACGAGCGCAACCCUUACUCUUAGUUGCCACCCGCAAGGGGGAACUCUAAGAGGACUGCUCCGGAUAACGGAGAGGAAGGUGGGGAUGACGUCAAGUCAGCACGGCCUUUAUGUCCAGGGCUACACACGUGUUACAAUGCACGGUACAAACCGUCGCGAACCCGCGAGGGGGAGCUAAUCGGAGAAAACCGUGCUCAGUUCGGAUUGCAGUCUGCAACUCGACUGCAUGAAGCCGGAAUCGCUAGUAAUGGCGUAUCAGAACGACGCCGUGAAUACGUUCCCGGGCCUUGUACACACCGAUAGC